rnacentral:rRNA from 1 species
CGAGUGCGAGGGCAUACAGUCCCUCGCUUUUCGUGACCGUAAGGUGGUCUCAGAAUAAGGGCUGGGCAAGACCGGUGCCAGCCGCCGCGGUAAUACCGGCAGCCCGAGUGAUAGCCACUCUUAUUGGGCCUAAAGCGUCCGUAGCUGGCCGAACGGGUCCGUCGGGAAAUCCACCCGCUUAACGGGUGGGCGUCCGGCGGAAACCAGUCGGCUUGGGACCGGAGGACCUGCGGGGUACGUCUGGGGUAGGAGUGAAAUCCUGUAAUCCCAGACGGACCACCGGUGGCGAAAGCGCCGCAGGAGGACGGAUCCGACAGUGAGGGACGAAAGCUUGGGUCUCGAACCGGAUUAGAUACCCGGGUAGUCCAAGCCGUAAACGAUGCUCGCUAGGUGUGGCGCAGGCUACGAGCCUGCGNUGUGCC